AACGCUAGCUACAGGCUUAACACAUGCAAGUCGAGGGGCAUCAGGGUAGCAAUACCGCUGGCGACCGGCGCACGGGUGAGUAACACGUAUCCAACCUACCGUUAACUCGGGGAUAGCCUUUCGAAAGAAAGAUUAAUACCCGAUAGUAUAUUUUCUUCGCAUGUUGAAAAUAUUAAAGAAUUUCGGUUAUCGAUGGGGAUGCGUUCCAUUAGGCAGUUGGCGGGGUAACGGCCCACCAAACCUACGAUGGAUAGGGGUUCUGAGAGGAAGGUCCCCCACAUUGGAACUGAGACACGGUCCAAACUCCUACGGGAGGCAGCAGUGAGGAAUAUUGGUCAAUGGACGAGAGUCUGAACCAGCCAAGUAGCGUGAAGGAUGACUGCCCUAUGGGUUGUAAACUUCUUUUAUAUGGGAAUAAAGUUCUCCACGUGUGGAGUUUUGUAUGUACCAUUAUGAAUAAGCAUCGGCUAACUCCGUGCCAGCAGCCGCGGUAAUACGGAGGAUGCGAGCGUUAUCCGGAUUUAUUGGGUUUAAAGGGAGCGUAGGUGGACUGGUAAGUCAGUUGUGAAAGUUUGCGGCUCAACCGUAAAAUUGCAGUUGAUACUGUAUGUCUUGAGUGUACAAGAGGUGGGCGGAAUUCGUGGUGUAGCGGUGAAAUGCUUAGAUAUCACGAAGAACUCCGAUUG
rnacentral:rRNA from 1 species